GGAAGAACAAGCCCAGACGCGUUUCUUCACGGAGCCAAAGGAAAACACUUUACCGAACUCAUAUGGGAUGGCCCUGUAAGUUGUGCAGCACUGUUGUACCAACCAAGAGUGACAUUUUAAAGCAUUACAGACUGCACCAUGGGACCUUUGGACACAGCCAUUCCUUGCCUUGCAUUCAUAUUAAUGAAGCGUUCCGAAGGUGCACUGCUGUUCCACUGGAAUCAACAUUUAUGUCCCAACUGGACAGGUACACUCCAAAACUCCUGGAGCUCUUCAGUGCAAAAGGAGGAGUGACUGCAGUGCAUCAAGAACUUGUUGAUGGAACUGACACAGGACCCAAGUGCCUCUGCAGUGAAGAAGAGAGAUGUGACUGUGAGAUGCCUCAUAGAGUACAUGGGAGAGAGUGGACAGGAGCUAAUCUCUGACUACUGGAACUGCAGAGACCACUGUUCAUGAGGACCUGGAAAUGAAGAAUAUGAGCAUCUACAUCUGUCGUGAGCCAAAUGCAGUAGGAAUCAUCAUUGAGGGAGUACCAGUCCUUACUCAUCUUGGAAACCUGGCCAAAGCAUGCUGCCUACUUCUGGGGUUGACGUAUGCACUUAAUCUUGAGUAUCCAUCCAAACUUACCAAAACAUUUGAGGUGUUUCAAAGACUUUUUGUGGGACUUGACACACUGCGCCCAAAACCAACCCCCAAAUUCAUGACUCAAAAACAAGCUUCUAGCUUAGGCAGUGAGCCAUGACUGUCAGCUUGCACUUUUGAACAGCUAUUUUCUUGUGUCUGUUCAAAAUCAUUAUACAUUGUUCAUUGAGUGGAAUUCUUCAGAAUGUUGUAAGGGUUUGUCCUGUUCAGGUUUUAUACAA